rnacentral:rRNA from 1 species
UGGCGGCGUGCCUAAUACAUGCAAGUCGAACGGUCUUUCUAUGGAAGCUUGCUUCCACUGAGAAGAUAGUGGCGAACGGGUGAGUAACACGUGGGUAACCUGCCCAUAAGAGGGGGGAUAACAUCCGGAAACGGGUGCUAAUACCGCAUAGUUUUCUUGAUCGCAUGAUCGGGAAAGGAAAGACGGCCUUUGUGCUGUCGCUUAUGGAUGGACCCGCGGCGUAUUAGUUAGUUGGUGAGGUAACGGCUCACCAAGACGAUGAUACGUAGCCGACCUGAGAGGGUGAUCGGCCACAUUGGGACUGAGACACGGCCCAAACUCCUACGGGAGGCAGCAGUAGGGAAUCUUCCGCAAUGGACGAAAGUCUGACGGAGCAACGCCGCGUGAGUGAAGAAAGGUUUUCGGAUCGUAAAACUCUGUUGUCAGAGAAGAACAAGUUGGAGAGUAACUGCUCCAGCCUUGACGGUAUCUGACCAGAAAGCCACGGCUAACUACGUGCCAGCAGCCGC